rnacentral:rRNA from 1 species
GACGAACGCUGGCGGCGUGCUUAACACAUGCAAGUCGAACGGUAAGGCCCUUCGGGGUACACGAGUGGCGAACGGGUGAGUAACACGUGGGUGAUCUGCCCUGCACCUCGGGAUAAGCCUGGGAAACUGGGUCUAAUACCGGAUAGGACUCCGGACUGCAUGGUCUGGGGUGGAAAGCUUUUGCGGUGUGGGAUGGGCCCGCGGCCUAUCAGCUUGUUGGUGGGGUGAUGGCCUACCAAGGCGACGACGGGUAGCCGGCCUGAGAGGGUGACCGGCCACACUGGGACUGAGAUACGGCCCAGACUCGUACGGGAGGCAGCAGUGGGGAAUAUUGCACAAUGGGCGCAAGCCUGAUGCAGCGACGCCGCGUGAGGGAUGACGGCCUUCGGGUUGUAAACCUCUUUCAGCAUCGACGAAGCGAAAGUGACGGUAGGUGCAGAAGAAGGACCGGCCAACUACGUGCCAGCCGCCGCGGUAA